rnacentral:ncRNA from 1 species
UGCGCGGGCCGUGACUGGCGCUUGGGUGGAGGACCACCGGGGAGCGGCCUGACACAGAUGUCGAUGCCGUGCGCCUGGGCGACUGGU